AGAGUUUGAUCCUGGCUCAGAACGUACGCUGGCGGCACGCCUAAUACAUGCAAGUCGAACGAAGUAGCAAUACUUAGUGGCAGACGGGUGAGUAACAUGUAGGUAUCUGCCCUUUGGCCUGGAAUAACACGAGGAAACUUGUGCUAAUACCGGAUAAGUCUUUACGGAGAAAGCUUUAUGCACCAUUGGAUGAGCCUGCACUUGAUUAGUUUGUUGGUGGGGUAAUGGCCUACCAAGACAAUGAUCAAUAGCUGAUUUGAGAGGAUGAUCAGCCACAUUGGGACUGAGACACGGCCCAAACUCCUACGGGAGGCAGCAGUAGGGAAUCUUGCACAAUGGAGGAAACUCUGAUGCAGCGAUGCCGCGUGAGUGAAGAAGGCCUUUGGGUUGUAAAGCUCUUUCGUCGGGGAAGAAAAUGACUGUACCCGAAUAAGAAGGUCCGGCUAACUUCGUGCCAGCAGCCGCGGUAAUACGAAGGGACCUAGCGUAGUUCGGAAUUACUGGGCUUAAAGAGUUCGUAGGUGGUUAAAAAAGUUGGUGGUGAAAUCCCAGAGCUUAACUCUGGAACUGCCAUCAAAACUUUUUAGCUAGAGUAUGAUAGAGGAAAGCAGAAUUUCUAGUGUAGAGGUGAAAUUCGUAGAUAUUAGAAAGAAUACCGAUUGCGAAGGCAGCUUUCUGGAUCAUUACUGACACUGAGGAACGAAAGCAUGGGUAGCGAAGAGGAUUAGAUACCCUCGUAGUCCAUGCCGUAAACGAUGUGUGUUAGACGUUGGAAAUUUAUUUUCAGUGUCGCAGCGAAAGCGAUAAACACACCGCCUGGGGAGUACGACCGCAAGGUUAAAACUCAAAUGAAUUGACGGGGACCCGCACAAGUAGUGGAGCAUGUGGUUUAAUUCGAAGAUACGCGCAGAACCUUACCAACACUUGACAUGUUCGUCGCGACUCUAAGAGAUUAGAGUUUUCGGUUCGGCCGGACGAAACACAGGUGCUGCAUGGCUGUCGUCAGCUCGUGUCGUGAGAUGUUGGGUUAAGUCCCGCAACGAGCGCAACCCUUACUUUUAGUUGCCAUCAUUUAGUUGGGCACUCUGAAAGAACUGCCAGUGAUAAGCUGGAGGAAGGUGGGGAUGACGUCAAGUCCUCAUGGCCCUUAUGUGUUGGGCUACACACGUGCUACAAUGGUAUCUACAACAGGAAGCAAGAUGGCAACAUUAAGCAAAUCCCAAAAAGAUACCUCAGUUCGGAUUGCACUCUGCAACUCGAGUGCAUGAAGCUGGAAUUACUAGUAAUCGUGGAUCAGCGUGCCACGGUGAAUACGUUCCCGGGUCUUGUACACACCGCCCGUCACACCAUGGGAGUUGGUUCUACCUUAAGGCAAGGUUUCAAACCCUUGACCACGGUAUAGUCAGCGACUGGGGUGAAGUCGUAACAAGGUAACC
rnacentral:rRNA from 1 species